rnacentral:rRNA from 1 species
CACGAACGCUGGCGGCAGGCUUAACACAUGCAAGUCGAGCGCCCCGCAAGGGGAGCGGCAGACGGGUGAGUAACGCGUGGGAAUCUACCCAUCUCUACGGAAUAACGCAUGGAAACGUGUGCUAAUACCGUAUACGUCCUUCGGGAGAAAGAUUUAUCGGAGAUGGAUGAGCCCGCGUUGGAUUAGCUAGUUGGUGGGGUAAAGGCCUACCAAGGCGACGAUCCAUAGCUGGUCUGAGAGGAUGAUCAGCCACACUGGGACUGAGACACGGCCCAGACUCCUACGGGAGGCAGCAGUGGGGAAUAUUGGACAAUGGGCGCAAGCCUGAUCCAGCCAUGCCGCGUGAGUGAUGAAGGCCCUAGGGUUGUAAAGCUCUUUCACCGGUGAAGAUAAUGACGGUAACCGGAGAAGAAGCCCCGGCUAACUUCGUGCCAGCCGCCGCCGUAA